UGCAGCAUAGCUCAGGGGUAGAGCACUUGCCUAGCAUGCCUGAGGCCCUGGGUUCAUUCCUCAGCCCUGCAA
rnacentral:tRNA from 1 species